GACGAACGCUGGCGGCGUGCCUAACACAUGCAAGUCGAGCGGGGUUGAAGCGAGAGGUAACUCGAACUUCUACCUAGCGGCGGACGGGUGAGUAACGCGUGGGCAACCUGCCUCAAGGUCUGGGAUAACAGCCCGAAAGGGCUGCUAAUACCGGGUAUGCUUGUGGCCUCGCAUGGGGCUACGAGCAAAGGGGAAACCCGCCUUGAGAUGGGCCCGCGUCCCAUCAGCUAGUUGGUGAGGUAACAGCUCACCAAGGCGACGACGGGUAGCCGGCCUGAGAGGGUGACCGGCCACACUGGGACUGAGACACGGCCCAGACUCCUACGGGGGCAGCAGUGGGGGAUCUUGCACAAUGGGCGAAAGCCUGAUGCAGCGACGCCGCGUGAGCGAAGAAGGCCUCGGUUGUAAAGCUCUGUCUGGAGGACGGAAGGAAGUGACGGUACUCCGGACGGAAGCCACGGCUAACUACGUG
rnacentral:rRNA from 1 species